rnacentral:rRNA from 1 species
AUGAACGCUAGCGGCAGGCUUAAUACAUGCAAGUCGUGGGGCAGCAGGUUUGUAGCAAUACAGAUGCUGGCGACCGGCAAACGGGUGCGGAACACGUACAGAACCUUCCUUUGAGCGGGGAAUAGCCCAGAGAAAUUUGGAUUAAUACCCCAUAGUAUAAUGAAGUGGCAUCACUUUAUUAUUAAAGAUUUAUCACUCGAAGAUGGCUGUGCGGCUGAUUAGGUAGUUGGCGGGGUAAAGGCCCACCAAGCCUGCGAUCAGUAACUGGUGUGAGAGCACGACCAGUCACACGGGCACUGAGACACGGGCCCGACUCCUACGGGAGGCAGCAGUAAGGAAUAUUGGUCAAUGGAGGCAACUCUGAACCAGCCAUGCCGCGUGGAGGAUGAAGGUCCUCUGGAUUGUAAAACUUCUUUUAUAUGGGACGAAAAAAAGGCUUUUCUAAGUCGUCUGACGGUACCAUAUGAAUAA